rnacentral:rRNA from 1 species
ACGGAAGGCAGCAGUGGGGAAUAUUGGACAAUGGGGGAAACCCUGAUCCAGCGACGCCGCGUGAGUGAAGAAGUAUUUCGGUAUGUAAAGCUCUAUCAGCAAGGAAGAAAAUGACGGUACUUGACUAAGAAGCUCCGGCUAAAUACGUGCCAGCAGCCGCGGUAAUACGUUUGGAGCAAGCGUUAUCCGGAUUUACUGGGUGUAAAGGGAGCGUAGACGGCAAAGCAAGUCUGAAGUGAAAUCCCGGGGCUCAACCCCGGAACUGCUUUGGAAACUGUUUAGCUAGAGUGCAGGAGAGGUAAGCGGAAUUCCUAGUGUAGCGGUGAAAUGCGUAGAUAUUAGGAGGAACACCAGUGGCGAAGGCGGCUUACUGGACUGUAACUGACGUUGAGGCUCGAAAGCGUGGGGAGCAAACAGGAUUAGAUACCCUGGUA